UUUGAAUUUGGUUUUUUCCUUUCUUUUGAAAGGAAAAUUUCACAAGGGGUGGGAUUUUCCCCCUUCCAAGGAAAACGUGAGCUGGGUUUAGACCGUGGUGAGACAGUUUUGUUUUACCCUAAUAAUGACAAAACGUUGUUGCGACAGCAUUCUUGCGUAGUACGAGAGGAACCGCAGGUACGGACCAAUGGCACAAUACUUGUUCGAGCGAACAGUGGUAUGACGCUACGUCCGUUGGAUUAUGCCUGAACGCCUCUAAGGUCGUAUCCGUGCUGGACUGCAAUGAUAAAUAAGGGGCAAUUUGCAUUGUAUGGCUUCUAAACCAUUUAAAGUUUAUUAUUUAUAUUUUAAACGACAAUGGAUGUGAUGCCAAUGUAAUUUGUAACAUAGUAAAUUGGGAGGAUCUUUGAUCACCUGGUGCCAUGCUAGUUACAUAUGAAAACAUUAUUUAAUACAAUGACAAAGCCUAGAAUCAAUUGUAAACGACUUUUGUAACGGGCAAGGUGUUGUAAGUGGUUGAGCAGCUGCCAUACUGCGAUCCACUGAAGCUUAUCCUUUGCUUGAUGAUUCGA
rnacentral:ncRNA from 1 species